rnacentral:tRNA from 1 species
GGAGAGUUGACCGAGUGGUAAGGUGCCAGCUUGGAAAGCUGAGGUCAGGGGAACCCUGCGCGAGUUCGAUUCUCGCACUCUCCGCCA